GAGUUCAGAAAAAAUCAUCAACACAAACAACACACAAGAAAUUCAUGAAAAGUGGAGGAAGAACAUCAUCUUACUUUUUCUAUUUAUAGAAGAGUAGAAGGCCGACUGCUACGACUCCUGCUACUACCACUGCUGUUGCUACUGCUAUUAAAGCCCAAGUACUUGCAUCCAUCUUCCACUUUUUUCCUCCAACAUGGACUGAUGUCCAUGAAAUAUGAAAAGAUUCAGUUAAUUUUCUGCCCCUGAGUUAUGAAUAAUUUGAGAUAAUUUGCAUACGCCACUUUCUACGCAAAGGUUGUGAUUUAUAAAAACAAACUUGGCUUGAGAAUGUGCGCACCGGUGCGCCAACUUUGAUGCUUGCUUAAGCACAUUUUGAACGGCAGUGCCGGAGGGUGAAGUGGUGAAUUGAAACCAGAUUGAUCUCAAACCUUUAUUGUCAUCACAUAUUAGACUUGUAGAGCCGGAUAAUCAUAAACCCUCAUUGUUGUAGAUGUUCCUAUAGUGCGCCAUUCAGCCUACAACUGUAUUUGCAGAACUAUGUUCAAAUAUCAAACUUCCGUCUUCAAAUGAUACAGAGUGGUGAGUGGCACUGAUUGAUUACUAAUUUGGAAAAGGUAUGAGACAAUCAGUCCAAUCGCUGAUCAAGCGGAUAAAUAGCGGGUGACAGCCGUGCGUAAUGUGGCACAAUGGAUGCGUUGGCAUUGCUGGAAGAUCACGUAAAGAAUGGAGAGAGAUUUUAGGGACCACAGGGAUUUCCUGGACGAUGACUGGCUAAUAAGCCGAUUCAGAUUCCCUAGAGCAGUACUCUUGGAUCUAUGUGCUGAACUGGGCCGUCUUAGACAGACCCACCCCCCGAAACCAUCCCGGUACAGACACAGGAGCUGACGACUCGGGGGUUUCUGGCGACACCGGCUCCCUCCAGUGGGAAGUGGCCGACAGACCGCCUCUGUCCAAACCUCCCUCCUUCCUCCUACUCCCCUGACCCUGAAAAGAGGAAGGACCUCCGGGAGGAAUGAAAGCAGGAGAAGUGGGCUCCUGGUGAAGUGGAUCGGGAAGGUCAGGAAUGUCGUGUCAUCGGCUGCAGGGGGUCGGAUCACUGGGCCUAAUGGUCUGGAGAGACAUCAUACAGGGUAACUCCAUAUUUCCCCAAUCUGGGAAUUUGAGGAAUUCAAAGGGACAGUGAAGGAGAGCUGUUGUCUGAAACGGAUAAUUGGACUUAUCUAGAGGAAGGCCUGAAGAUCUGAGAAUUCCUGGGAUGCUGCAUGACAACAACUGGAGAUUUUUCUGGUUUUUACGUUCACAAUCUUUGGUCACUGCUCAAACUAAAUGAAGCUGUCAUUCAAAUUCUAAGUCCAGAGACUCCCUGAAGUCCCAAUCUGUAAAUCUAGAGGAUAUUAUCAUGUGUCAUAAGGAAAUAAUCUCGACUUGGUUUCUGUCUUUUACCACUAAUGCUAACUACAACCUACUUUAGAACACUAAGCAUCCUAUAGAUGAUUCACUUUGGAGUAAAGAACGACUUUAUCCUUAACCGUACUCUACUUUUAUUUGCCUAAAAUCAACCAAAUGCUCCUAUUUUGCAUGAAAAUUUUAAUGGGUUUUGAGUAAAACUAUAAAGAUUUGGUAAUCAGCUAAAGAAAAGCACCUGGUAUCCGGUAGUUACCUCCGCCAGGAGGUUAUGUAAUCACCGGAGUUUGUUUGUCUGUGUGUGUGUGUCUGUUUGUCUGUUAACAGCAUAAUUCAAAAAGUUGUGGACGGAUUUUCACCAAAUUUUUUACAGGAUGUCCGGAAGAGCAAGAGUAACAAUCGAUUAGAUUUUGGAGGUGAUCCGAAUCACCGUCUGGAUCCAGGAAUUUUUUGAAGGUCGAAGGACGGCCAUCUCUCAAUUGGACAGAGACUACAUGAACGUAACAGCGUACAUGAACGCAUGUCAAACAUGGGUCAGAUGCCAUCUGCAAAUAAUUCCUUUCACUCUUUAUCUUAAGAGCCAAAUCACACGAGGCAUGAUAAAGUAGAUUGCUGUCCUGACGACUCAACUGAGUGCAUCCACUGUGACCGUCUACAGCAGGGUGCCUCAAACAAACGCAGCGAUGUUUGCAGAAGCUGACCUUGGAGCAGUUCACCUGAGAGCUGACGGAGCUGCAGGAACAUGCCAGGCUGUGUGUUCCCCCGAUGACUCCAUUUACAGUUCUGCACCACUGCAACUUAAUAAUGUCCCACAUGUACAAACAAGAGUUCUGCAGAUAUGAUCCCAGUUUGUGUGUUUAGGAAAUGUAUGAGCUUGUCCUUGAUAUGUUAGGUUCUUUGAAUGUGCAUUGGGAAAACAGACGUAUUCACACAGUUACCAUAAGUAUUCAGAGGUCAGAGGCGAACUCCUGUAAAGAAAUCUAAUGUAGAGUGUUGUGAUCGCUGCAGGUUUCAAUGGUAUCGACAUUUUUCUCUGCACGCUUUGCUGGAGAUACAUCUUUGCAUGAUGAAUACAUCAAGUCGGAUUAGCAACACUGUCA